GCCAGUUGGUGCAUGGCCGUUCUUAGUUGGUGGAGCGAUUUGUCUGGUUAAUUCCGAUAACGAACGAGACUCUAGCCUGCUAACUAGGCGCAUAAUCGACAUCUUAAAGGUCCGUCAAUCCAGCUUUCGGGUUGUGGUUGAACGAGAUUUUGACUGUCGGCGUAUAAUCAAUUCUUCUUAGAGGGACAAGCGGUUCUUAGCCGCACGAGAAUGAGCAAUAACAGGUCUGUGAUGCCCUUAGAUGGUCAU
rnacentral:rRNA from 1 species